GAUGAACGCUGGCGGCGUGCCUAAUACAUGCGAGUCGAGCGAACAGACGAGGAGCUUGCUCCUCUGACGUUAGCGGCGGACGGGUGAGUAACACGUGGAUAACCUACCUAUAAGACUGGGAUAACUUCGGGAAACCGGAGCUAAUACCGGAUAAUAUAUUGAACCGCAUGGUUCAAUAGUGAAAGACGGUUUUGCUGUCACUUAUAGAUGGAUCCGCGCCGCAUUAGCUAGUUGCUAAGGUAACGGCUUACCAAGGCAACGAUGCGUAGCCGACCUGAGAGGGUGAUCGGCCACACUGGAACUGAGACACGGUCCAGACUCCUACGGGAGGCAGCAGUAGGGAAUCUUCCGCAAUGGGCGAAAGCCUGACGGAGCAACGCCGCGUGAGUGAUGAAGGUCUUCGGAUCGUAAAACUCUGUUAUUAGGGAAGAACAAAUGUGUAAGUAACUAUGCACGUCUUGACGGUACCUAAUCAGAAAGCCACGGCUAACUACGUG
rnacentral:rRNA from 1 species